AACGAACGCUGGCGGCAGGCCUAACACAUGCAAGUCGAGCGGACCCUUCGGGGUUAGCGGCGGACGGGUGAGUAACGCGUGGGAAUAUGCCCUUCUCUACGGAAUAGUCCUGGGAAACUGGGGGUAAUACCGUAUACGCCCUUUGGGGGAAAGAUUUAUCGGGGAAGGAUUAGCCCGCGUUGGAUUAGGUAGUUGGUGGGGUAAUGGCCUACCAAGCCGUCGAUCCAUAGCUGGUUUGAGAGGAUGAUCAGCCACACUGGGACUGAGACACGGCCCAGACUCCUACGGGAGGCAGCAGUGGGGAAUCUUAGACAAUGGGGGCAACCCUGAUCUAGCCAUGCCGCGUGAGUGAUGAAGGCCUUAGGGUUGUAAAGCUCUUUCAGCUGGGAAGAUAAUGACGGUACCAGCAGAAGAAGCCCCGGCUAACUCCGUG
rnacentral:rRNA from 1 species